GAUACGAGAAACUACCCACCCGAAUUUAUCAGAGGAGUGCGAGGACGGCUUCACAGCAGCAAGUCUGGUUCCAGGCAGGGGCCUGAGCAACCACGACAGGGCGAUUGUCAGGGUGUGACCCCUGCAGUCGGCUCCAAGAUGAUUCCAACCACUGCUAUGCAUCAGUUCUCAAACAGGAGCUGCAAGAGAGACUGGAACGCACAGAGGGGCAGCCGAUGAGCUUGGGUCUCCUUGGAACAUGGGCUGCUCUCCCAGAUGUGCAGGUGGCUCCCACACGCCAGCGGCAGACACUGAUCCCCCAGCUCAUCCAGCGCAUCAUUGUGGCGAGAGGAAUCAGAAGGUGACAGACUGCAGACAGGGAGAUGGCCCUUGGUGGGCGUGGCCUAAUCAGAUGAGGAGCAGAGAUCC